CAUCGUAGGCAGCCUGAAGUACAUAGAUGGAGCGGUCCGUUCAAACUGCUGCAAGACGGCCUCACAAGCCCAUAUUCGGGAACCUGUCAACGACUGCGCCAUACAAAAGGCGUACCGGGUCCCUGGAUGUAACAUCCAAGCAUACAUUUUCACCACUGCCAGCAACCAGUACUGUGUUGACCCAUCUGCCAGCUGGCUCCCAGAAAGACUCAAGAAAUUAGCGAGCAGGGGAAUAUUUUGCGAAAGCUUGUGAAAGACCUUAAGCAACCUGGACGAAGAUGAUGCGUCAUAAGCAAGAACCUUCACAUGGAUUUCCAGUUAAUUUGGCUUUAACUUGAUUACAGUUGGCUUUCCCUGUUAUAUUUACACAAAUCUGUCACCAUCUUCUAAACUAAUAAAGAUGAAUUUGAAAUCUG